GAAGCAAAGUGUUACUGGAGAUAUCAUGAUCACAAAGGUGGCUUACCCGGGACAGGGCUUAUCAGUGCACUCUAGGUGUGCUGGUCCCUUGAUUUCUCCAAAUGUGGGAAAGUGGACUGCAUAACUUGUGAUAGCAGAGGACUGCUUGGGCACUCUUCCU
rnacentral:snRNA from 1 species